rnacentral:rRNA from 1 species
UGGGGAAUAUUGCACAAUGGGCGCAAGCCUGAUGCAGCCAUGCCGCGUGUAUGAAGAAGGCCUUCGGGUUGUAAAGUACUUUCAGCGGGGAGGAAGGCGAUAAGGUUAAUAACCUUGUCGAUUGACGUUACCCGCAGAAGAAGCACCGGCUAACUCCGUGCCAGCAGCCGCGGUAAUACGGAGGGUGCAAGCGUUAAUCGGAAUUACUGGGCGUAAAGCGCACGCAGGCGGUUUGUCAAGUCGGAUGUGAAAUCCCCGGGCUCAACCUGGGAACUGCAUUCGAAACUGGCAGGCUAGAGUCUUGUAGAGGGGGGUAGAAUUCCAGGUGUAGCGGUGAAAUGCGUAGAGAUCUGGAGGAAUACCGGUGGCGAAGGCGGCCCCCUGGACAGAGACUGACGCUCAGGUGCGAAAGCGUGGGGAGCAAACA